AGAGUUUGAUCAUGGCUCAGAGUGAACGCUGGCGGCGUGCCUAAUACAUGCAAGUCGAACGCGAAAGUCCUUCGGGAUGAGUAAAGUGGCGCACGGGUGAGUAAUGCAUAAGAACAUGCCCUUGGAUGGGGAAUAACGUUUGGAAACGAACGCUAAUACCGCAUAAUCUCGAAAGAGUAAAGGUGGCGCCGCAAGGGCUACCGUCCAAGGAUUGGCUUAUGUCCCAUUAGCUAGUUGGCGGGGUAAUGGCCCACCAAGGCGACGAUGGGUAUGUGGUCUGAGAGGAUGAUCACACACACUGGAACUGAGACACGGUCCAGACUCCUACGGGGAGGCAGCAGUAGGGAAUAUUGCACAAUGGGGGAAACCCUGAUGCAGCAACGCCGCGUGAGUGAAGAAGGCCCUUGGGUUGUAAAGCUCUUUAGCGAGGGAAGAGGGUUGAUACGGUGAAUAAUCGUGUCAGCUGACGGUACCUCGAAAAUAAGCACCGGCUAAUUUCGUGCCAGCAGCCGCGGUAAUACGAAAGGUGCAAGCGUUACUCGGAAUCACUGGGCGUAAAGCGCACGUAGGCGGACUCGUAGGUCAAUUGUGAAAUACCUGGGCUCAACCCAGGAACUGCAGUUGAAACCACUUGUCUUGAAUACCUGAGAGGGUGGGGGAAUACCUGGUGGAGAAGUGAAAUUCGUAGAGAUCAGGUGGAACACCGGAGGCGAAGGCGCCUGCCUGGCAGUGUAUUGACGCUGAGGUGCGAAAGUGCGGGGAGCAAACAGGAUUAGAUACCCUAGUAGUCC
rnacentral:rRNA from 1 species